GAGCUUGCUCCUGGAUUCAGCGGCGGACGGGUGAGUAAUGCCUAGGAAUCUGCCUGGUAGUGGGGGACAACGUUUCGAAAGGAACGCUAAUACCGCAUACGUCCUACGGGAGAAAGCAGGGGACCUUCGGGCCUUGCGCUAUCAGAUGAGCCUAGGUCGGAUUAGCUAGUUGGUGAGGUAAUGGCUCACCAAGGCGACGAUCCGUAACUGGUCUGAGAGGAUGAUCAGUCACACUGGAACUGAGACACGGUCCAGACUCCUACGGGAGGCAGCAGUGGGGAAUAUUGGACAAUGGGCGAAAGCCUGAUCCAGCCAUGCCGCGUGUGUGAAGAAGGUCUUCGGAUUGUAAAGCACUUUAAGUUGGGAGGAAGGGUUGUAGAUUAAUACUCUGCAAUUUUGACGUUACCGACAGAAUAAGCACCGGCUAACUCUGUGCCAGCAGCCGCGGUAAUACAGAGGGUGCAAGCGUUAAUCGGAAUUACUGGGCGUAAAGCGCGCGUAGGUGGUUUGUUAAGUUGGAUGUGAAAUCCCCGGGCUCAACCUGGGAACUGCAUCCAAAACUGGCAAGCUAGAGUAUGGUAGAGGGUGGUGGAAUUUCCUGUGUAGCGGUGAAAUGCGUAGAUAUAGGAAGGAACACCAGUGGCGAAGGCGACCACCUGGACUGAUACUGACACUGAGGUGCGAAAGCGUGGGGAGCAAACAGGAUUAGAUACCCUGGUAGUCCACGCCGUAAACGAUGUCAACUAGCCGUUGGGAGCCUUGAGCUCUUAGUGGCGCAGCUAACGCAUUAAGUUGACCGCCUGGGGAGUACGGCCGCAAGGUUAAAACUCAAAUGAAUUGACGGGGGC
rnacentral:rRNA from 1 species